UUUGUUAAAUUCCAUGUCAUAUUUCUGUUAACUUAAGGGUAUUUUUGAACCUAAACAAACGUUAAGGGCAUUUUGAUCCUUUUCCCUUCUUUUUUUAAUAUCAAAAGACCCCAAAACCCCAAAUUAUUUUCAUUCUCUUCUCCUCUAAAAAAUCCGCCGCCUCUUCUUCUCCCCUUCCCCUUCAUCCUCUCCGUCUUCCGGCGAGAAUCGCCAUCGCUGGUGAAGCCAGCAGCCGUUGGUCGCCAUCGUUUCUCCCUUCUCUUCCCUCUUUCUAGUGCGAAGCAGCAACAACUGCACGGAGACAGCAACCACCCGGCGCCACCGGCGAUCGCCACCCUCGUUUCCUCUUUUCUCUGCUGAGUUCCGGCGAAACUGGACAACAGCUCCGAUCGGCGAACCCCACCUGUAGCAGCAGCCGCCGGAUAAAAGCAGCAGCAACAGUAGCUCCGGCGAAGCAGCCUUAAGGCUCCAACACCGGUUGACACCAGCAAGUAGCCAGGCGAGAACCUGGUCAGCAGCAACGACAACAAGGAACCAGCGAGAUCCUCGAGUCUCCAUUCCUCUCAUCUCCGGCGAGGCUCGAAUUUCUGAAAUUUUGCACAACAAGAUUCGUCCAGGUUCGUUCUCCCGUAUUGAUUUUUAUUUGAUUCUUAGCAUGAUUAGUUAAACUUAUAGCAUGCUCUUGAGAAAAGUCGAUAAUCGUUGUAAUUCUCGUUUUAAUAUGAACUAUUCUGACUUUUGAUUGCCAUGUUCACCCAUUAGCUUAAUUGGCCCCCUAACAAUUGUGUUGUUUAGAAUUUAACUUUUCUUGUGCUAAUUGCUCUGUUUUGACCCCCUAAAUGCUUGCUAAUUUUCCUUUACUAAUGAUAUUACUUGUAGCAUUGUUAACAGUUUUGUAUGUUAUAAUGGAUUCCUUUAUUGAUGGUUCCUUGAUUAAUGGGAAUAAUGCUUAUUAGUUGAUUGUGUUAAUUUGACCUUGCUAUAAAUAUUAGUCAAAUUCCUGUUUUACUUUCCUUGUUUUGAUAAACUGAUUUUAUGUUGAUUGGUUUCCUUAAAUGAUGUAUGUUUGUUCGCUAUGUUGAAAUUAAUUAGUCUCUGAAACAGUAUAUAGUGACUUCUUGAUUGAUCUCUUUACCUUCAUUAAAACUUGGCAGAUUCUUACAUACUUAUUUUUGGUGAUAUCUUUACUCGGUUGAAAAUUGACUUUUACUGAUUUGGUUCUUCCUUUUCUUAAAGGAAAAUAAUAUUCCUUGAUUGGUUCUAAUUGAUUCUAUCCCCAUUCUGGCUAUAUACUCUCUUAUUUGUUAUAUAAACAGAUGACCCCUUUCAUUAUUGGGACAGUUUAACACUUCAAAAAAAAAACUCAUUAAAAAGUACUAUGUUCAUAAAAGGAGUCUGUUGCAAUUCUCAAAGUGUGUUUUAUUUGUUGUGUUGUUGUUUCGAUUGAAGCUGCUAAUACUUCAUUGCUCAAAUAUAUUCUGCUUAAUUGGUUUGUUAUCUUCAUUAGUGUAAUUUUGUUUUGCAAUGUUGCAUGGUUGUAUGUUUGAAAUAAAUAAAAGGAAGCAUUCGGGUUAGUUUCCUUAUCACUUUCUUUCUCAAUGUGUGGUAUUAUAUGUGUUGUGACUUGUUUGAAGUUCGUGUGAUUGAUCAGAAUAACUUUUUAUGUUUUACGUAUAUAACUAUUAUAUAAUCUUGUCUUUGGUAUAUUACAUGUGUUGGCAGUCCUUUGUUUAACAGGUUUUUGAAUUUAAAGAUUCAAGACGUGAAGAGUCGCCUAGGAUGGGUUCCCGGAUGAGAUUCUGCUUUUAUUGUUGGUUAUAUUUGUAUUGUUUCAUUUUUGGUAUUGUAAUAUUAUUUGUAUAACUCUAACUCUCUAGAUAUAUAUGAUAUAACUCGGAGAAUCAUCUAAAGGGGGGAGGGGAUAUACGUGCUACUUGUUACUUUAUCUCAACUUAUUUGUGUUAGAAAAGCAUGCCUAUAGGAUUGUGAUUUGUUUUAUCGUUUUUAUUCUUAUAAUACUCAUUCGAGAUCUAUCUAAAAAAUAAAAUAAGUCACUAUCGCCAUUAAUCACCUGUUUAAUAUUAUCUAAUUAUAGUUUAAAGUUGAUUGUGCAUAUUACUGGAGUGUCGUGACCACCUUCUAAAUGAUAACAAUAAAUAAUAUAUUUGCUCCUUGUUUCAUCUAAUUCAAC
rnacentral:lncRNA from 1 species